GUGCUCGCUUUGUCAGCACAUAUACUAAAAUUGGAACAAUACACAGAUUAGCAUGGCCCUUGCUCAAGGACGACACGCAAAUAUAUAAAGCAUUCCAUAUUUUU
rfam:Canis lupus familiaris chromosome 19, whole genome shotgun sequence.